rnacentral:rRNA from 1 species
UACGUAGGGUGCAAGCGUUGUUCGGAAUUACUGGGCGUAAAGGGCGCGUAGGCGGCCUUCUAAGUCGAACGUGAAAUCCCCGGGCUCAACCCGGGAACUGCGUCCGAUACUGGGAGGCUUGAAUCCGGGAGAGGGAUGUGGAAUUCCAGGUGUAGCGGUGGAAAUGACGUAGAUAUCUGGAAGAACACCGGUGGCGAAGGCGGCAUCCUGGACCGGUAUUGACGCUGAGGCGCGAAAAGCC